rnacentral:lncRNA from 1 species
CCAUUACCAUUACCAUUAACAGGAUUUAUAAUCAUAUUUUCCCCACCUUCUAUUUCUCUCUUCCAUCUUCUCUUUUGGUAUAUACAUGUAUAUAUACAUACAUACAAAUCAAAAGCUCCGUCGUCUUCUUCAGUGCUCCGGUCAGAUCCGGCGUCUUCUUCAGUGCUCACUUGCAGAGGCCUCAGUUUUUAGCGCAAUCAAUCUCUCCAUCGGAAAGCCUGCAAAUGGAGUAUCUAAACGACGAGUUCCAUUA